CUCUAUUUCUCUUCUUCUUUCAGAAAUGUGAUGUCCUGUGGGAAGACUUCCAUCAAAAACUAGUGGAUGGGUCCUUGCUGACACUGGAUACCUAUCUGGGCCAAUUUCCUGAUAUAAAGAAUCGCAUCGCAAAACGCAGCAGGAAGCUGGUGGAUUAUGACAGUGCUCGCCACCAUCUGGAAGCUUUGCAGAGCUCCAAGAGGAAGGAUGAAAGUCGAAUCUCUAAGGCAGAAGAGGAAUUUCAGAAAGCACAGAAAGUGUUUGAAGAGUUCAAUGUUGACUUACAAGAAGAGUUACCAUCGUUAUGGUCAAGGUAACGUUG
rnacentral:lncRNA from 1 species